rnacentral:rRNA from 1 species
AUGCAAGUCGAACGGAAGGCCCUUCGGGGUACUCGAGUGGCGAACGGGUGAGUAACACGUGGGUGAUCUGCCCUGCACUUUGGGAUAAGCCUGGGAAACUGGGUCUAAUACCGAAUAUGAUCAUCGGCUUCAUGGUCGGUGGUGGAAAGCUUUUGCGGUGUGGGAUGGGCCCGCGGCCUAUCAGCUUGUUGGUGGGGUAAUGGCCUACCAAGGCGACGACGGGUAGCCGGCCUGAGAGGGUGACCGGCCACACUGGGACUGAGAUACGGCCCAGACUCCUACGGGAGGCAGCAGUGGGGAAUAUUGCACAAUGGGCGCAAGCCUGAUGCAGCGACGCCGCGUGAGGGAUGACGGCCUUCGGGUUGUAAACCUCUUUCAGCACAGACGAAGCGCAAGUGACGGUAUGUGCAGAAGAAGGACCGGCCAACUACGUGCCAGCAGCCGCGGUAAUACGUAGGGUCCGAGCGUUGUCCGGAAUUACUGGGCGUAAAGAGCUCGUAGGUGGUUUGUCGCGUUGUUCGUGAAAACUCACAGCUUAACUGUGGGCGUGCGGGCGAUACGGGCAGACUAGAGUACUGCAGGGGAGACUGGAAUUCCUGGUGUAGCGGUGGAAUGCGCAGAUAUCAGGAGGAACACCGGUGGCGAAGGCGGGUCUCUGGGCAGUAACUGACGCUGAGGAGCGAAAGCGUGGGGAGCGAACAGGAUUAGAUACCCUGGUAGUCCACGCCGUAAACGGUGGGUACUAGGUGUGGGUUUCCUUCCUUGGGAUCCGUGCCGUAGCUAACGCAUUAAGUACCCCGCCUGGGGAGUACGGCCGCAAGGCUAAAACUCAAAGGAAUUGACGGGGGCCCGCACAAGCGGCGGAGCAUGUGGAUUAAUUCGAUGCAACGCGAAGAACCUUACCUGGGUUUGACAUGCACAGGACGCUGGUAGAGAUAUCAGUUCCCUUG